rnacentral:rRNA from 1 species
UACGUAGGGGGCAAGCGUUGUCCGGAUUUAUUGGGCGUAAAGAGCGUGUAGGCGGCCGUACAGGUCAGCUGUGAAAACUCGAGGCUUAACCUCGAGAUGUCGGCGGAAACCAUCUGGCUAGAGUCCGGAAGAGGAGAGUGGAAUUCCUGGUGUAGCGGUGAAAUGCGCAGAUAUCAGGAAGAACACCCGUGGCGAAGGCGGCUCUCUGGGACGGUACUGACGCUGAGACGCGAAAGCGUGGGGAGCGAACAGG